rnacentral:rRNA from 1 species
UCGGAUUACUGGGCGUAAAGAGUACGUAGGCGGCUAUUCAAGUCAGAGGUGAAAGCCCGGGGCUCAACCCCGGAACUGCCUUUGAAACUAGAUAGCUAGAAUCUUGGAGAGGUCAGUGGAAUUCCGAGUGUAGAGGUGAAAUUCGUAGAUAUUCGGAAGAACACCAGUGGCGAAGGCGACUGACUGGACAAGUAUUGACGCUGAGGUACGAAAGUGUGGGGAGCAAACAGGAUUAGAUACCCUGGUAGUCCACGCCGUAAACGAUGAUAACUAGUUGUUCGGUCACUUGGUGACUGAGUGACGCAGCUAACGUAUUAAGUUAUCCGCCUGGGGAGUACGGUCGCAAGAUUAAAACUCAAAGGAAUUGACGGGGGCCUGCACAAGCGGUGGAGCAUGUGGUUUAAUUCGAAGCAACGCGCAGAACCUUACCAGCGUUUGACAUCCCGCGCUACCCAGAGAGAUUUGGGGUUCCCUUCGGGGACGCGGUGACAGGUGCUGCAUGGCUGUCGUCAGCUCGUGUCGUGAGAUGUUGGGUUAAGCCCCGCAACGAGCGCAACCCUCAUCCCUAGUUGCCAUCAUUCAGUUGGGCACUCUAAGGAAACUGCCGGUGAUAAGCCGGAGGAAGGUGGGGAUGACGUCAAGUCCUCAUGGCCCUUACGCGCUGGGCUACACACGUGCUACAAUGGCAACUACAGUGGGCAGCAACCGUGCGAGCGGUAGCUAAUCUCCAAAAGUUGUCUCAGUUCGGAUUGUUCUCUGCAACUCGAGAGCAUGAAAGCGGAAUCGCUAGUAAUCGCGGAUCAGCAUGCCGCGGUGAAUACGUUCCCAGCCUUGUACACACCGCCCGUCACACCAUGGGAGUUGGUUUCACCCGAAAGGCAGUGCUCUAACCCGCAAGGAGGAAGCUGACCACGGUGGGAUCAGCGACUGGGGUGAAGUCGUACAAGUACCCGU